GAGAGUCGCAGAUACCAGGUGGCUGCAACUGUUUAUUAAAAACACAGCACUGUGCAAAAUCGUAAGAUGACGUAUACGGUGUGACGCCUGCCCGGUGCCGGAAGGUUAAUUGAUGGGGUUAGACUUCGGUCGAAGCUCUUGAUCGAAGCCCCGGUAAACGGCGGCCGUAACUAUAACGGUCCUAAGGUAGCGAAAUUCCUUGUCGGGUAAGUUCCGACCUGCACGAAUGGCGUAAUGAUGGCCACGCUGUCUCCACCCGAGACUCAGUGAAAUUGAAAUCGCUGUGAAGAUGCAGUGUACCCGCGGCUAGACGGAAAGACCCCGUGAACCUUUACUACAGCUUGGCACUGAACAUUGACCCUACAUGUGUAGGAUAGGUGGGAGGCUUUGAAGCAGGUACGCCAGUAUCUGUGGAGCCGUCCUUGAAAUACCACCCUUGUAGUGUUGAUGUUCUAACGUCGACCCCUAAUCGGGGUUGCGGACAGUGCCUGGUGGGUAGUUUGACUGGGGCGGUCUCCUCCCAAAGAGUAACGGAGGAGCACGAAGGUGGGCUAAUCACGGUUGGACAUCGUGAGGUUAGUGCAAUGGCAUAAGCCCGCUUGACUGCGAGAAUGACAAUUCGAGCAGGUGCGAAAGCAGGUCAUAGUGAUCCGGUGGUUCUGAAUGGAAGGGCCAUCGCUCAACGGAUAAAAGGUACUCCGGGGAUAACAGGCUGAUACCGCCCAAGAGUUCAUAUCGACGGCGGUGUUUGGCACCUCGAUGUCGGCUCAUCACAUCCUGGGGCUGAAGUCGGUCCCAAGGGUAUGGCUGUUCGCCAUUUAAAGUGGUACGCGAGCUGGGUUUAGAACGUCGUGAGACAGUUCGGUCCCUAUCUGCCGUGGGCGUUGGAAGAUUGAAGGGGGCUGCUCCUAGUACGAGAGGACCGGAGUGGACGAACCUCUGGUGUUCGGGUUGUGUCGCCAGACGCAUUGCCCGGUAGCUAAGUUCGGAAUCGAUAACCGCUGAAAGCAUCUAAGCGGGAAGCGAGCCCUGAGAUGAGUCUUCCCUGAUACUUUAAGUAUCCUAAAGGGUUGUCGGAGACUACGACGUUGAUAGGUCAGGUGUGUAAGUGCUGUGAGGCAUUGAGCUAACUGAUACUAAUUGCCCGUGAGGCUUAACCAUACAACACCCAAGGGGUUU
rnacentral:rRNA from 1 species